rnacentral:rRNA from 1 species
AGCAGCCGCGGUAAUUCCAGCUCCAAUAGCGUAUAUUAAAGUUGUUGCAGUUAAAAAGCUCGUAGUUGAAUUUCGGGAUUAGUACGCUGGUCAUGCCUUUGGUAUGUACUGGUGUUACUGAUUCCUACCUUCUGAAGAACCGUUAUGUCAUUCAUUUGGUGUGGCGGGGAAUCAGGACUGUUACUUUGAAAAAAUUAGAGUGUUUAAAGCAGGCUCGCGCUUGAAUACAUUAGCAUGGAAUAAUGAAAUAGGACGUUGAUCCUAUUUUGUUGGUUUUCUAGGAUUGACGUAAUGAUUAAUAGGGAUAGUUGGGGGCAUUAGUAUUCAAUUGUCAGAGGUGAAAUUCUUGGAUUUAUUGAAGACUAACUACUGCGAAAGCAUUUGCCAAGGAUGUUUUCAUUAAUCAAGAACGAAAGUUAGGGGAUCGAAGACGAUCAGAUACCGUCGUAGUCUUAACCAUAAACUAUAGCCGACUAGGGAUCGGAUGAUGUUAAUUUUUUAAUGACUCAUUCGGCGCCUU